AGCAUAUCAAUAAGCGGAGGAAAAGAAACCAACAGGGAUUGCCCCAGUAACGGCGAGUGAAGCGGCAACAGCUCAAAUUUGAAAUCUGGCCCCCGGGUCCGAGUUGUAAUUUGUAGAGGAUGCUUUUGGCGAGGUGCCUUCCGAGUUCCCUGGAACGGGACGCCAUAGAGGGUGAGAGCCCCGUCUGGUCGGACACCGAGCCUCUGUAAAGCUCCUUCGACGAGUCGAGUAGUUUGGGAAUGCUGCUCAAAAUGGGAGGUAUAUGUCUUCUAAAGCUAAAUAUUGGCCAGAGACCGAUAGCGCACAAGUAGAGUGAUCGAAAGAUGAAAAGCACUUUGAAAAGAGGGUUAAAAAGUACGUGAAAUUGUUGAAAGGGAAGCGCCUAUGACCAGACUUGGGCCCGGUGAAUCAUCCAGCGUUCUCGCUGGUGCACUUUGCCGGGCACAGGCCAGCAUCAGUUUGGCGCGGGGGAGAAAGGCUCUGGGAAUGUGGCUCCUCCGGGAGUGUUAUAGCCCACUGCGUAAUACCCUGCGCCGGACUGAGGUACGCGCAUUGCAAGGAUGCUGGCGUAAUGGUCAUCAGCGACCCGUCUUGAAACACGGACCAAGGAGUCGUCUUCGUAUGCGAGUGUUCGGGUGUCAAACCCCUACGCGUAAUGAAAGUGAACGCAGGUGAGAGCUUCGGCGCAUCAUCGACCGAUCCUGAUGUUCUCGGAUGGAUUUGAGUAAGAGCAUACGGGGCCGGACCCGAAAGAAGGUGAACUAUGCCUGUAUAGGGUGAAGCCAGAGGAAACUCUGGUGGAGGCUCGCAGCGGUUCUGACGUGCGAAUCGAUCGUCAAAUAUGGGCAUGGGGGCGAAAGACUAAUCGAACCUUCUAGUAGCUGGUUUCCGCC
rnacentral:rRNA from 1 species